rnacentral:miRNA from 10 species
CAUGAUGUCUGCUGGGAUGAGA